CGGCCCAUCCCCACAUAAUGAGAGUCCCGCCUAAGCCAACCAUACGGAGUUCCUGUCACAUGGCACGGCGGCCCAUCCCCACAUAAUGAGAGUCCCGCCUAAGCCAACCAUACGGAGUUCCUGUCACAUGGCACGGCGGCCCAUCCCCACAUACUGAGAGUCCCACCUAAGCCAACCAUACGGAGUUCCUGUCACAUGGCACGGCGGCCCAUCCCCACAUACUGAGAGUCCCACCUAAGCCAACCAUACGGAGUUCCUGUCACAUGGCACGGCGGCCCAUCCCCACAUACUGAGAGUCCCACCUAAGCCAACCAUACGGAGUUCCUGUCCCACCCACAUGGACAUCCACCAAUAGCCAUUUAGACAUGUAUCGGCACGUGCUUAUUGGCUCUCAGUUCCUCCAGUAGUAGGAGUGUGUGGCACUUCUCUCCCCAACUGUCAGUCUCUUCUUCAUUGCUCCGCCCUCUUAUCUCUACCUCAUUUCUAUUCUACACCCACUCUCCUGGUUUUACCCCAAAUACCCCAUUUUGCUCCACUUUCCUAAACCUCCUUGUGCCCUGUGCCACCUCUUUACCCCAUAUAUUUAUUUGCCUCCCAUACUAAAUGCCUCUGUUGUGUUCUCUCUGCAGUCUGCCCUGUCCUACACCCACCCUUCCCGCUCCGCCUCCCCCGGCGGGUACCCCCAUGGGACGCCCCCUCAGCAGCCGCACACGUCUGGGUUCCAGGCUUCCCCCCAGCAGAACCCCCGUCUCCCCUUCAUGCAACAUGGACAGAACCAGCGCUUUUACCACAAAUAAUGGCUCCAGGCUCCUACUGACUCCUGAUUGGGCAGGAGUUUGUCCCUCUCUCUGUCCCCCAGCGUCUCACUUCUUGCCUACGUCUGUGCCGUGUCGGACUGGGGUGCCAAGGGACCAGCGAAGAACCCCAUUGGCCCACUCUCCCCCACCCUCAAGUACCCAAGUCUCUUCCCUUUCCGCCAUUUAUUCUUCCCUGUAGCCUCCUGCUUCCCAUACAGAUAUAGGGACUGAUGGUUAGAAGCAGGAGGGCCCCCGGGAGUUUACCUGGUAUCUCCUGACACCCCCUCUCUGUGAGCUCUGCACCCCCAGACCCACGGUCUCCAUGCAGAUGAGGGUCUUACACUGAAUAAAGUGCUUCUACCCAGCCUG